AUUGAACGCUGGCGGCAGGCCUAACACAUGCAAGUCGAACGAGUGGCGGACGGGUGAGUAAUGUCUGGGAAACUGCCUGAUGGAGGGGGAUAACUACUGGAAACGGUAGCUAAUACCGCAUACCAUCGGAUGUGCCCAGAUGGGAUUAGCUAGUAGGUGGGGUAAAGGCUCACCUAGGCGACGAUCCCUAGCUGGUCUGAGAGGAUGACCAGCCAAACGGGAACUGGGACAAGGUCCAGACUCCUACGGAAGGCAGCAGUGGGGAAUAUUGCACAAUGGGCGCAAGCCGGAUGCAGCCAUGCCGCGUGUAUGAAGAAGGCCUUCGGGUUGUAAAGUACUUUCAGCGGGGAGGAGUUACCCGCAGAAGAAGCACCGGCUAACUCCGUGCCAGCAGCCGCGGUAAUAC
rnacentral:rRNA from 1 species